rnacentral:rRNA from 1 species
GACGAACGCUGGCGGCGUGCCUAAUACAUGCAAGUAGAACACUGAAGAGAGGAGCUUGCUCUUCUUGGAUGAGUUGCGAACGGGUGAGUAACGCGUAGGUAACCUGCCUGGUAGCGGGGGAUAACUAUUGGAAACGAUAGCUAAUACCGCAUAAAAUUGAUUAUUGCAUGAUAAUUAAUUGAAAGAUGCAACUGCAUCACUACCAGAUGGACCUGCGUUGUAUUAGCUAGUUGGUGAGGUAACGGCUCACCAAGGCGACGAUACAUAGCCGACCUGAGAGGGUGAUCGGCCACACUGGGACUGAGACACGGCCCAGACUCCUACGGGAGGCAGCAGUAGGGAAUCUUCGGCAAUGGGGGGAACCCUGACCGAGCAACGCCGCGUGAGUGAAGAAGGUUUUCGGAUCGUAAAGCUCUGUUGUAAGAGAAGAACGGGUGUGAGAGUGGAAAGUUCACACUGUGACGGUAUCUGACCAGAAAGGGACGGCUAACUACGUG